rnacentral:tRNA from 1 species
GGGGAUUUAGCUCAGAGGUAGAGCGCUUGCCUGGCAAAUGCAAGGCCCUGGGUUCAGUCCCCA